rnacentral:rRNA from 2 species
UUAUUGGGCGUAAAGCGAGCGCAGGCGGUUUUUUAAGUCUGAUGUGAAAGCCUUCGGCUUAACCGAAGAAGUGCAUCGGAAACUGGGAGACUUGAGUGCAGAAGAGGACAGUGGAACUCCAUGUGUAGCGGUGGAAUGCGUAGAUAUAUGGAAGAACACCAGUGGCGAAGGCGGCUGUCUAGUCUGUAACUGACGCUGAGGCUCGAAAGCAUGGGUAGCGAACAGGAUUAGAUACCCUGGUAGUCCAUGCCGUAAACGAUGAGUGCUAAGUGUUGGAGGGUUUCCGCCCUUCAGUGCUGCAGCUAACGCAUUAAGCACUCCGCCUGGGGAGUACGACCGCAAGGUUGAAACUCAAAGGAAUUGACGGGGGCCCGCACAAGCGGUGGAGCAUGUGGUUUAAUUCGAAGCUACGCGAAGAACCUUACCAGGUCUUGACAUCUUCUGCCAAUCUAAGAGAUUAGACGUUCCCUUCGGGGACAGAAUGACAGGUGGUGCAUGGUUGUCGUCAGCUCGUGUCGUGAGAUGUUGGGUUAAGUCCCGCAACGAGCGCAACCCUUAUUAUCAGUUGCCAGCAUUCAGUUGGGUACUCUGGUGAGACUGCCGGUGACAAACCGGAGGAAGGUGGGGAUGACGUCAAAUCAUCAUGCCCCUUAUGACCUGGGCUACACACGUGCUACAAUGGACGGUACAACGAGUCGCAAAGUCGCGAGGCUAAGCUAAUCUCUUAAAGCCGUUCUCAGUUCGGAUUGUAGGCUGCAACUCGCCUACAUGAAGUUGGAAUCGCUAGUAAUCGCGGAUCAGCAUGCCGCGGUGAAUACGUUCCCGGGCCUUGUACACACCGCCCGUCACACCAUGAGAGUUUGUAACACCCAAAGCCGGUGAGAUAACCUUCGG